rnacentral:rRNA from 1 species
AUUGAACGCUGGCGGCAUGCUUUACACAUGCAAGUCGAACGGUAACAGCACUUCGGUGGCUGACGAGUGGCGAACGGGUGAGUAAUACAUCGGAACGUGCCUAGUAGUGGGGGAUAACUACUCGAAAGAGUAGCUAAUACCGCAUGAGAUCUAAGGAUGAAAGCAGGGGACCUUCGGGCCUUGCGCUACUAGAGCGGCUGAUGGCAGAUUAGGUAGUUGGUGGGAUAAAAGCUUACCAAGCCGACGAUCUGUAGCUGGUCUGAGAGGACGACCAGCCACACUUGGACUGAGACACGGCCCAGACUCCUACGGGAGGCAGCAGUGGGGAAUUUUGGACAAUGGGCGCAAGCCUGAUCCAGCAAUGCCGCGUGCAGGAUGAAGGCCUUCGGGUUGUAAACUGCUUUUGUACGGAACGAAAAGCCCUCUUCUAAUACAGGAGGGUCAUGACGGUACCGUAAGAAUAAGCACCGGCUAACUACGUG